rnacentral:rRNA from 1 species
UACAGAGGUCUCAAGCGUUGUUCGGAUUCAUUGGGCGUAAAGGGUGCGUAGGCGGCGCGGUAAGUCGGGUGUGAAAUCUUGGAGCUUAACUCCGAAACUGCAUUCGAUACUGCCGUGCUUGAGGACUGGAGAGGAGACUGGAAUUUACGGUGUAGCAGUGGAAUGCGUAGAUAUCGUAAGGAAGACCAGUGGCGAAGGCGGAUCUCUGGACAGUUACUGACACUGAGGCACGAAGGCCAGGGGAGCAAACGGG